UGCCAGCCGCCGCGGUAACACGUAGGGGGCAAGCGUUGUCCGGAUUUAUUGGGCGUAAAGAGCUCGUAGGCGGCUUGGUAAGUCGGGUGUGAAAACUCCAGGCUCAACUUGGAGACGCCACCCGAUACUGCCAUGGCUAGAGUCCGGUAGAGGAGCGUGGAAUUCCCAGUGUAGCGGUGAAAUGCAUAGAUAUUGGGAGGAACACCAGUGGCGAAGGCGGCGCUCUGGGCCGGUACUGACGCUGAGGAGCGAAAGCAUGGGGAGCAAACAGGAUUAGAUA
rnacentral:rRNA from 1 species